GAUGAACGCUGGCGGCGUGCCUAAUACAUGCAAGUCGAGCGAACGGACGAGAAGCUUGCUUCUCUGAUGUUAGCGGCGGACGGGUGAGUAACACGUGGAUAACCUACCUAUAAGACUGGGAUAACUUCGGGAAACCGGAGCUAAUACCGGAUGAUAUUUUGAACCGCAUGGUUCAAUAGUGAAAGACGGUCUUGCUGUCACUUAUAGAUGGAUCCGCGCUGCAUUAGCUAGUUGGUAAGGUAACGGCUUACCAAGGCAACGAUGCAUAGCCGACCUGAGAGGGUGAUCGGCCACACUGGAACUGAGACACGGUUCAGACUCCUACGGGAGGCAGCAGUAGGGAAUCUUCCGCAAUGGGCGAAAGCCUGACGGAGCAACGCCGCGUGAGUGAUGAAGGUCUUCGGAUCGUAAAACUCUGUUAUUAGGGAAGAACAUAUGUGUAAGUAACUAUGCACAUCUUGACGGUACCUAAUCAGAAAGCCACGGCUAACUACGUG
rnacentral:rRNA from 1 species